rnacentral:rRNA from 1 species
GAUGAACGCUGGCGGCGUGCUUAACACAUGCAAGUCGAACGGAAAGGCUCCUGCUUGCAGGGGUACUCGAGUGGCGAACGGGUGAGUAACACGUGGGUGAUCUGCCCUGCACUUCGGGACAAGCCUGGGAAACUGGGUCUAAUACCGGAUAGGACCACAUUUUGGAUGGUGUGGUGGAAAGUUUUUCGGUGUGGGAUGAGCUCGCGGCCUAUCAGCUUGUUGGUGGGGUAAUGGCCUACCAAGGCGUCGACGGGUAGCCGGCCUGAGAGGGUGUACGGCGACAUUGGGACUGAGGUACGGCCCAGACUCCUACGGGAGGCAGCAGUGGGGAAUAUUGCACAAUGGGCGCAAGCCUGAUGCAGCGACGCCGCGUGGGGGAUGACGGCCUUCGGGUUGUAAACUCCUUUCGCUAGGGACGAAGCGCAAGUGACGGUACCUGGAGAAGAAGCACCGGCUAACUACGUG